ACAUCCUGAAGCAGAUCUGUCCAGAGGUGGACAAUGCCCAGCCAGGGGGCUUGAAGAGUCAGAGGUGGGUGUGUCCCGGGCUCCCAGAUCUGACCACAGUCAUCUCGGUGGAUGCCCCUUUGCCGGGGACCCUGCUCCUGGAUGAAGUGGUGGCGGCUGGCAGCACACGGCAGCAUCUGGACCAGCUCCAGUACAACCAGCAGUUCCUGUCCUGCCAUGACCCCAUCAACAUCCAGUUCACCUCGGUAGGGCAGAGGUCUCCAGGCCCCAAGCCCAGAUGGACACAUGCCCCCUGCCCCUGUGACACUUCCGUGGGAAUGGGGAGACAGCAGAGGAGAGCAUGCAUUCUUUACUGAGACUGGCCUUCAGCUGUCCUCUGUGCCCCGGAAAAUAUCAGCACCUGGUGUCCUUGUCACAUUUCCUCCCCUAGCUCCCCGCCCUCUCCACUCCAGCCCUCUUGUUCCUGGUGCAGUGGCAGAUUCACUGAACCAACACAGGUUAGAACUGCUACAGGCUGCCCCUCAUUUAGCUGAUGAGGAAUCAGAGACCCAGAGAGAGAAUUUGCCCAAGCCAGCUUGUGGGUGGCAGAGUUCUCUGGGCCAUGUAAGUGGCACGAGAACGGAGACCUUACCUUCUGCAUUGCUGGACCCUGACACCUGGCAUCGUGGUAGACCUUUUGCAAAUAUACUGAACAGAUGGA
rnacentral:sRNA from 1 species